GUGUGUGUGUGUGUGUGUGCGUGUGUCUGUGUAAGCAGAGUUUAUUGAACGACUUCAGGAAAAAAAACAUCAACCAUAAACAGAUAUGUUACCAACGGGCAGUUUACCUAAUAAGGUGCUUACGCAAUUAACUGCCUUGUUCUUCAAAAACCGGCACUUCCAGAAACAGUCCUGGAUGGAGGAAGAUCAGGCAUUUCACCAAAUCUAAAACUCAGUAUGUUUAUUACCGAGGGUGAAGAAGUUUGUGUGUAUCUACAGCGUUAUUUAAUGCUACUUUCACUUAAUUUAUACAAUGUGAGACGAAUGUCACAGGAAAAAAUCGAACCCCGAGUUUGAGUGAUAGACCCAUGGUCUUUCUUAGACAAUCGAUAGAUCUGCGUUUUUAUUGAUUUUAUUUAUUACGGUUUGUUUGUGAGGAUUUCCGGUCUUUCGGAAUGUAUAAAAGUACUGAAGAUAUGGUUUUUAUAACGCAAUGUUUCAGCAGACUUGCAGAGUUCAUCCGGGUCCAAAAGAAUGAGGCAGAUUACGAUAAAUAUUACGAUAAAGUUACGACGAGUUUCGACAUCAUAUUGUGUCUAGAUAAAAGGUGAUUCUGUAAUUUCUGAAAAAUUGCUAUUCACAAGAUCUCUAACGGCAAUUGUGAUCAAAGCAAGAUCUGUGCAGACCUAUCCACAGUGGACUGAGAUUCAGGGCCAUUGUCAUAGUGUGCGAAGACUCCAGUACCUCGAGAGGUUAUCUCGUAAACAAAAUGGAGAGAAUAGUGAAUCGAAUCGUGCCACCACAUCUCUGGACUGGCCUGGACUCAAGGGGUCCGCUAUUAGCCUCGUCAGUUGGCUGGAAUCGGCGCAUCACUCCCAACAUCAGAGGUCCCGAAACGUCCCUCAGAGGACGUCAAGCUUUGCCACCGAAUUUGACGAGAAGACGACUCGACUUCCUCCAGCAGAUCCAUCCACCUCCGGAUGGAGAGAGAGCAACAACCCAAUUCGACACGAAAACUGUCUGCGGACAAUCUGGAAGGAUCAAGUGGACAUUAACCUUGAGGUACUGUAAACGCACUGGGCAUCUCGAGCCCCUCGACCGCAAGAAAAAGUGCACUAAAGAAUAAAUGAGACAAUCGAUAUCCUUUGUAGCUGGUCUCGUUCGUGCCCCAUUCAUAUACGAGUACUAUGCUAGAGUGUGUAUACUAUCAUCUGUAUUAUUCAACAGUGCUGCCCAGUGAUAUUUUUUUUAUUGUUAUACGCUGCUUCCAGUGAACUAGCCCUGACAUUGUCAACAUUGUCUUUCAGCGGCCGAUUGUUAUCUAUCUACAUCCUGAAGAAGAUUUGCUCAAUGUGUAGAUGACGGCUGAGCAUUGAGUGGAUGUGUUUACUUUCCUUUGUAACAGAUGACCUUUUCGUCUCUGCCGAGAUCUAAGUGAAUGUCAUCCAUUUGUGUCUCACUUGCUAACGAUUAACCCAGUAGUCUUUCUCGUCGGGGUUUGCGGCCUAUUUGCCAUUAUCCCUGGGCAGCAUACGUUGAUUCUUCUGAUGAAUGUUAAAGUAAUUUUAAGGUGAAAUGUUUUAUCAAUUAAUGCUUGAAGAUCAAUAUACAUGACAAAUAUUUUCUACUAUCUAAGGUAUGUGAAUGAAUCUGUUUAUAUGUCAACGUUAUUUAGUGCCAAGUAAGCUAUAGUCUUCAGUGUGCGUGGGUGUUUCCUCUUCUCACAGGAAAUUCAAUCAAAAUAUUGUUGUCAGUAUAUUAUCCAUAGCAAUGUUAAGAUCUCGAUAUUGUUGCCGCUUUGAAAAUCCCUUUACCCUUCUUGAAUCUGAGGAAGUUUCAUUAAACAUUUCAUCCCAAUGGAACAACUUAGUAUAUAGUCUGAAAUACCUUUCAUCUUUUUAUUAUACGAAAAUUCAGACUCUAGUUGGUAAAAUUGUCACAAACUUCAUAACCUUCUUCAGAUCUCAGGGAUGAAGGUUCAACGGCUUCGAAAGAGGAUCGUGUUAAAUUAUGAACUCAUAUACCACCCUUCUCUCUCUCUCUCUCUCUCUCUCUCUCUCUCUCUCUCUCUCUAUUGUACAUGAGGAGUUCCUGUGUAUACAGCGCUCACACAAAUCGAGGAUCAAAUGUGUUUAAACAAAAGAACAAAAAUGACCGGAUCAAAACGAGGUAGAAGUCUCAAUAAACUUGUCUAAGACGAGAGCACAUCUUUCUUUAUAGAGGCUAUACGGAUGUACUUAAUGUAAUCAUGAACACUACUAACCUCUUUCUUGCAGCAGGGCUUCUCAUUAUCAUUUCUUUUGUUCAAGUAUUUUUCAGUAGUUUUACUAUAAUGAAAUCUGAAAUUUUUAAUUGUUUUUAAAUUGAAAAAUAUAAUUGAAAACUGGUAAGUCAAUCGGGUGAUAUUUUUACAUAAGCCCAUUCAACAAAAAUUCGUUUUAUAUUCUUAUUUGUAGAUGUUUGGUUGAAAAUUCAUCUUCGUUAAACUUAAUUCAGACUGAAGCUAAUUAAAAUUUAGUUCAUGUUUUAAAUGUCCCGUCCCGUCAAUGUUUGUCUUUGUGUUUAUAGUUCCUGAGAAAGUAGUUUUAUCAAUGAUGCUGAAAUAUUUUAAACGACGACUAUAUUUUCGUCAUAUGAAUCCAGCAACUACAGUAGCAUGGCGACCAUUCUCCUUUGGAUUCUCUGCGCACUUCCUCAACGCUUAGUUUUCUCGCGCCUUUUUUGGUUUGUCAUUUCUCUGACGAGCCCUGCUGCCGUUUGCUCUGAAAUUCGACCGUAAACGACGACCUUGAUUAACCUUUGUCUCUGUAGAGUAUCAUGUUAUCUUUUCCAUUUUGAGAAGGAACAUGAUCACUUUAUGGAGAUAACGAAUAAUCAGAUCUUCACGAAUAAUCAGAUCUUCACGAAUAAUCAGAUCUUCACGAAUAAUCAGAUCUUCAGCUAGAAGCUAUGCAAUUGCUGCUCUGUUACAACGGAGAAUGUAACUGAGGUAAGAAUAGCGAAUAAUUAACGAAUUCCCCCUAAAGAGAACUGGUGUAAUAUACUUAACAUCUUUCAUCACCUAAGCAUUUGAUCAAAUUCAUUCAUUUUUCAUUCUUCUUGUUCUAACAGAUCUACACUAUAACAAACGUCUGUCAUUGGGUAUAUGUAGAUACUGUUAACUCAGUACAUCUAAGAGUAGAUAGUUUAUUGGUGUCUUGUGUCACAUGUAUACUAAAUUAAUGAGCUCUUCAUCAUCACUAUUAACUCUAUUUGUGCCCAGUUGUUUAGCCUACAUCUGGCAAAUUUGUAACUACUUUAUGGUUUUUUCAAAUCUUAAACUGCAUCCUAAAAUUUCAGGAAGUUAGACGCUACCUAUCAUUUUAUCCUUUGACGGGUACUUUGGCGUCAGUUAACAACCUUUAUGAUAGUUAAAUAAUCAUCGUUACUCGCAGUUGUAACUGAACUGUAUCUGCAACGUCGCUCUUAGUGAAGAACCCCAUACUAGUGCUUAACCCAUCUGAUUUCCAUGAAGUAUAUUCCUGGAACUUUGGCCUCAGUGAAGAGCAACAUCCUGAAGGCUGCCAACAAUUUUCUUUUUCAACUGAUUCACUCCACUUCGGAGGGUACUACAGAGGUAAGGUACAUUUUUUUUUUGCUAUAUUUAGUUACAGUAGUUGUUUUGACACUCAAAUAACGCCUGCUCCCUUUUAAAACAGUGAACUCCUCAAGUCAGAUUGUGUAGCUACAUCAAGGAUGCUGAUCAGGAUGGUUUAGUGUCUUGCCAAACAGUGCUUCGGGGGGACAGCGUUUUCUGUGGAACAUUAUAUUUAAUGGGAAAUAUUGUUUUGGGAACAAUAUUUUUUAAGAAACACUCAGCUUUGUGGGACAGAUUUCAGAACAAAUUGUAUGAUCAUCUAGGUGACUGCAGAGAUUUAAGAAACUAGAGACUCCGUUUACCAGAUUUUAAGAGGGUUUGAAAUAUUUUGUACCUGGAGACUUAUUGUGAUCUGCCAAGCACCAGUUUAAGUACUAAUUAUUUUAGACAUUUAUAAAGACUAAGAACUUAUUAUUACUUAUGAGACUGAAAUGUUUUGAGACAGCUGUGUACAGUGCUUGGGGACAGACUUUGUGUUUUUGAAGACGAAUCAUACUUGGGUGAGAGACUUUUAUGAGACGUUCUUUCCAGAUACAGUUAUAGCUGUUUCAGAGACAUUUCCUCAUAGGACAGACCAGCUCAUUUAGAAGAUCUUGCACGGUGCAAGGUGGACUGUGAUUCUGGGCUCGAGGUGUCCAAGUUGAUGCUUAGAAGACCUCAUGUCUUCUCAGACUCAAGGAGUCCCAGUUAGUUCACUGAAUCUUGAAGGAUGCACUAUGUUUCAGGAGUUGUGCUGUUCUCAGGAGAUGCACUGUAUCUCGAGACGAACUGUGUAGAUGUGGGCUGGUUCUCGGGAGAUACAGUGUAUUUCAGGAGACACUUCAUGCUUAUGGAAAGACUUAGUGCUUCGAAAGACACUUUAUAAUUCUAGCGGAUGUUUGUUGUUUCUAGAGACUUGUUCUAAUAUAGAUGUUGCAUGACUGCCCAGUGAUUGCUCUUCUAUUCCAGGACUCGCUUUAGGAGGUUAUCCAUAUUUUAGGAGAAGUGCUUUUUAGGAAAAGAACUUACAACUGCAAGCGCCCCUCCUAGUUUUGGUAAACGCACUGAAUUUUCGAGGACUUAGUGAUUUGUAAAUUUUUUUGAGAUAUUUACUGUAUUCGGAGACUCCCUUUGACGUGGAUGACUGUUUAGAAAUGUGACACUCAGGAGAAGCCUCUGGGUGUCACAUUAGACUUAUUUUGACAUCUGGAAGUUGGACUCCGGGUGUCACAGUGGGACACUUGUUUUGACAGCUAGAAGUGGGCUCUGGGUGUCACACUGGGACUUUAUUUUGGACAUACAGAAGUGGGCUCUCGGUGUCAUAUUGAAACUUUGACAUCUAGAAGUGGGCUCUGGGUGUCAUAUACGGACUUUAUUUGAACAUCCAGAAGUGGUCUCUGGGCGUCACAUAAUUACUUUAUUUUGACGCCCAGAAGUGGGCUCUGGGUGUCAUAUCGAGUCUUUACUUUGACAUCAGGAAGUGGAUUCUGGAUGUCAAAUUGGGACUUUAUUUUGAUAACCUAGAGGUGCUCUCUGGCUGUCACAUAGGGACUAUAGUUUGACAUGUAGAAGUGGGUUCUGGGUGUAACAUUGGAUUAUAGUUUGACAUUUAGAAGUGCGUUCUGUGCGUCACAUAGGGACUUUAUUCUGACAUCUAGAAAUGGGCUAUGGGUGUCUUAUAGGGGCUUUAAUUUGACAUCUAGAACUGGGCUCUGGGUUUCACAUAGAGACAUUAUUUUUACUUCCGGAAGUGGACUCUGGGUGUCACAUAGAGACCUUAUUUUGAUAUACCGAAGCGGGCUCUGGAUGUCACUUUGGGAAUGUAUUUAAACAUAUAGAGUUGGGCUUUGGGUGUCACGUUGUGACUUUAUUGUGAUAUCCAGAAGUUGGCUGUGUCCCAUUACUACUAUAUUGUGAUAUCCAGAAGUGGGCUCUGGGUGUCACAGUGGGGCUUUACUUUGAUUAGACUUAUUUGUUUUACAGAGCACUUCAGGGAACAUUAUGCGAGAUAUAGAUAAAGCUGACUGUGAUUGUAAGAUAGUUUUUAACCGGUGAUUCUGUGAUAAUUAGCUGAUGCAUAUUGCUUUUAUGUCAUUUCUUAAAUAAGGUACAAAAGGCGGCAAAAAAAAUUAAGAGGCACAAAAAAUACAAAAAAAUGCCGCUUUGAACGAUAUCUGUUGGAAUGAAAUUGACCUAGAACUCUCCAUAACAGUUUACCGCAUAAAAAAUAUUAAAAAAAAAAAGUAAGAAAAUAAGUAAAGAGGAAGUGAUCACGAACAAUGGGCGCUUCACAGUCCUUUUUUGAGCUUUCACACAACAGAAACCUGAGGUAUUGCUCUGUGGAAAAAUUUCAGCUCCACAAAGCCACAGUAACCAUACAAUGUAACUUUAGAGCCUAUAUCAUCGGUAAAAAAAAGCUUGGAUACUAAAAUAUUAACCCAAUUAAUACUCAUAACAUCUAAUUUGCUACCAUAACAGACUUCAAAAACUAAACUGAAAGAAAUCUAAAGACAUCCUUGAGGGCCAAGAUAUCUUCGGUGAGGCCUUGAGUAGGAACUGCUACCAUUGGUGGAGGGCAAAUUCUCUUUCGGUGUAGGACAAGUAGGAACUAUUAACAUUAGUAAAAGGCUAAUGCAUUAUGUAGGCUAUGUAGGAAACUAACAUUUUUGCUGUCAUAUACGGUGAAGGGGAUGCUUAGGAAAGCUAUCUAGUAUGUUUCAGAAUGUGUAGGAAGACUUAACACUUUAGUAACUCUGGUAAGUCUCGGUAACGUAGCUGCGGGACCUGACAAGUCUGAGCUGAAGACUUGAGACUCUGAAUGGUGAAGAGUAUGGAGGAAAACGGCUCCUCUGCAGAAUUCCUAGAGAGGAAUAAGGAUAGAACGUGAGAUGAUACAUGAUAUGAAGUAGGUUAAAGGAGAAGGGAUAAGUAGUAGAGCAGUUAAUUACUAACUAACUAACCAACAGCAGUUAAGAAGAAGCAAGGACAUUCCUGCGUUGGAAGGAGAACUUUGGCUUGGGGAAACAGGUUUUUUUGGGAAGCUGUGUUCCCUGAGUAACAGUGUUCUUGGAGAGAAGUCACUUCCUGCGAUGGAAGAAGAUGAGUAGGAAAAUUGCUUGUGGUGGUGGGUGGAGGUUAGAUCGGAAAACUGCUGCGGUGGAGGCCGGGUGCGAAAAGAAAUAACCGUGAAAUAGGAAUGGGAACUGUGGCAUCCGAACGAGGUUUCCAAGGGAAGCUCAGAACAGGUGAAAGGAAUAUUGUUAUUCUGACAGGUACAAACAUAUUCUAGCAAGUAGGACUAGACAUGGUGCAACAAAAAACCUUCAGUUUAUUUUCAUCAAUGAAGUGAAAGUAAAGGACAACUUUGAAGGUAAAUCUAUAACAGUUUCAUUAAAAAAAAAAAAAAAAAAAAAAAAGUUUGUUACGAAGUCUGAAGAAACACAUGAAUGCCUUAAGGGUGCCUCCAUGAAUUUCAAGGAAAAUUUCAAGGAAAAUAUGAGGAAUCCUUAAGGAUUCUUAGACCUUGGGGGUGUCAAUCCGCGCUCAUUUAUUAUUUUUUUUUUCAUUUACUUGACAAGGCUGCAAAAGUGCAGUUCUAUAAUGACCCCCUGAUUUCAAAACCCCCAACGGAGGCUGCUACAGUGCCACAGCUUUAACGCGUUCAGUUGACAGCUUAAGAUUUUGUCAAGUUUUUGUUUUUGUUUUUUUCCCCCUGACAAAUUGGUUAAACUGGGACACUUUGUUGCAAUUGCCUGCCAUCCUUUGAAUAAGAAAAGUACCUUGAUAUACCUGCCGCUAACGAUUACUCCCUCUCUCUGUCGUUCUUAUAGCUGGAGAGAGAGAUUGAGUGUGUGUGUGCGCGCGCGCGUUAGUAUGUGAGAGAGAGAGAGAGAAAGAGAGAGAGAGAGCAGUGGUGCAUCUCAUGGUCCUAUUCGUUCUUUUCAUGUGCCGUAAGUACUGUCAUUUGGCGAUACGUCUCAUGGAAUGAUGAAAGAAAGGAUGGCAGUACUGCUGUACAUAUCAUUACUUUUAGAAGACUUUUGGUCAAAGAUACUUGUUCAUACAUUACUAAUGUGUAAGCAAGAAUUUUUUAAAAAGUUAUAUUAUAAUGUCAAUCUGUGAUUGUCAGUGGUCCAUCAAAGGAAGUUUGUUACUUUCAUGCACCAGUAAUGAAUAUUUUAAAGUAUUCCUUUGAUGGUCUACCGCGUAAACUGUAAGCACCUUGAUCAGCAUAAUAACUCCAGGGCUUUAUGUUAAUAUAUAUUCUGGUGAAGCGAAAAUGUUGUGUAUAUUUUGCCUUCGUCCAUGUGUGUAAAAGUUUUUUUUUAUUUCUUUUUUCUCGUCCUUGUGCUGUAAAUGUUUUUUAUAUAUGCAUAUCUUGAUUCUUUAUUAUGUUACGAGUUAUGUAUCAGGAAAGAGGCACUAAUUUCAUGCACCAUUAGGCCCUCGAGUAAUUCUUGAUAUAUUACUUUCAUUUCUUUAAUGUAUGUGAUGCUUUUUAUGUUUGUGACAUCGUCAGUGUUUCGUAGCUACAUCUCCCCAAAGUGUAGCUGGAUGGUGCUAUUAGCUCUUAUCUUCAUCAUUUCAAGUGUUCCCAAUCCCUCUCUGUGUUGCUGUAUUGUGUUUCUAAGAAUUUGCUCAACUGGUCUCUCAAGAAAGGUGCUAAAAUUUCACUCUCAAUUAGUAACGUUAACUUAGUGUUUGCCCAGUUCAGUGAAGUAAUUGUGGCUACACUACAAACCAUAAUUACAUAGAUGCAUGCUACAGAACACUUUUACAUCUUACCUUCACUCACCAAACACUUAGGUUAAGGAUAUUUAAAUGAUCACCAAAAAUUAAUUUGACGAUGCCACUGAUUGUCACCAAAAGUAAGUUGCCAAAAUAGAACAGAUUAUGUAAGUAAGGUCUAUAGAAUUAGCUAAUAAAUAAGAGGAGUUCAUCAUCAAAUCACUCAAUUGUACUAACAGAUUUAAAUCUAUUUAAUUUUGUGCGAAUCUGAAACUAACACGUAUUUGCCCUAACAAAAACACCAACAGUAUUAUGUUACUUGAGGACAUAGUGUUUUGUGGUAUUGUGUAUUGUGUAUGAAUGGAAUAGCUAGGUAAAUUCCCUUAUUUAUGUAGUGUUAGAGUACUUGCGAUAUGAAUCUCCAACGAAUGUUGCUUAUAAUUCCAAAUGAAAAUGAACCCUGGAUUGGAUAUAUUUUUCUCAAAAAGACACCUUGAAUUUCUGAGGACAUUUUGUCACGACGCAUACAGAUUAGCUCACUGACUGAAGGAUGAACUGAGACUACCAUCCUAGCGAUUUCAUACAAAAGAACCAUUUAUCAGUGUGUGACGUAAUAAGGAAACAAUCGCCCAAUGAACGACAGAUGACUGACAAUUGAAUCAUUCAUUAACUGACAGACUUUGACUGGUAAUUGAGUAGUUCAUUAACAGACAGACUUUAACUGACAAUUGAAUAAUUCAUUAACUGACAAACUUUGACUAACAAUGGAAUAAUUCAUUUACUGACAGACUUUGACUGACAACUGAAUAAUUCAUUAACUGACAAACUUUGACAAUUAAAUGAUUAAUUAACUCAUAGACUUUCACAAAGGAGCAAUUCAUUAACUGACAGAUUGACUCUUAACAAAAUAGUAUCUAACAGACCGAGGAAAAAGCACAGUCGAGGAAAAGCCACAAUCGACUGACUCGAUAAGGAUCUAUGAAUGUCUGUCUGCCUAAAAAGCGCAACGUAACCCAGUGACAUCUUAGUUUGGGAUAAGACUCGAUCGAUUCCACUCAGUAAGAAGAAGGAAAAUGAAAAUUUCAAAUGUAAUGAUGUGAAGAAAAGGUUCAUUCACAGACCGACUUUGAUGAUGACACACCCAUAGAAUCCGUGAGGCGGAACUUGGCACAUGUUUUAAAUUUACCGUUGCUUAAAUCCUGACUUUUUCUUUCUUUUUAACAAAACUUCAGCUCUUGGGUUUUGUUAGUACUUACUCAUUUUCAGUAUCUUGUUAAGAAAAUAAUGUCAGCAAUAAAUUAGCGUUUGGAUCGUCUGUUAAUGAUUUGCAAUAAAAAAACUUAAUAAGAAAGUACAAUUCCAGUGCACCUCGCACCUGGCGAAUGAUUUUACAUCAUUGAACGCAAUUUAACAGACCGUCGUUAAAUUACAGCUUGUCAGUGACUUAAGAUUACAUGAAAUAACGAGGAAGAUGUUUUCAUGACUUACACAGAACAGUCACCAGUUAUGGAUACUGAGUAAUAAAUACAACUUGGGAUGUCAAUUCUAGAAUUAUAUAAAUUUAGUUUUAAAAGUGUUCAGUAUAAUACUCAAAUGGUUAAGUAUCUUUCUAUUGUUUUUUAAUUUCCAAUGGAAGCUUUUCAUCAUUUUUGCCGUAAGCCUUUGAUAGCCUUGGCUCAUUACUGGGCAAGUCUCUCUCUCUCUCUCUCUCUCUCUCUCUC